CUAUACAUGCAGUCGAACGAGUUCUGAUUAUUGAAAGGUGCUUGCAUCUUGAUUUAAUUUUGAACGAGUGGCGGACGGGUGAGUAACACGUGGGUAACCUGCCCUUAAGUGGGGGAUAACAUUUGGAAACAGAUGCUAAUACCGCAUAAAUCCAAGAACCGCAUGGUUCUUGGCUGAAAGAUGGCGUAAGCUAUCGCUUUUGGAUGGACCCGCGGCGUAUUAGCUAGUUGGUGAGGUAACGGCUCACCAAGGCAAUGAUACGUAGCCGAACUGAGAGGUUGAUCGGCCACAUUGGGACUGAGACACGGCCCAAACUCCUACGGGAGGCAGCAGUAGGGAAUCUUCCACAAUGGACGCAAGUCUGAUGGAGCAACGCCGCGUGAGUGAAGAAGGCUUUCGGGUCGUAAAACUCUGUUGUUGGAGAAGAAUGGUCGGCAGAGUAACUGUUGUCGGCGUGACGGUAUCCAACCAGAAAGCCACGGCUAACUACGUGCCAGCAGCCGCGGUAAUACGUAGGUGGCAAGCGUUAUCCGGAUUUAUUGGGCGUAAAGCGAGCGCAGGCGGUUUUUUAAGUCUGAUGUGAAAGCCCUCGGCUUAACCGAGGAAGUGCAUCGGAAACUGGAAAACUUGAGUGCAGAAGAGGACAGUGGAACUCCAUGUGUAGCGGUGAAAUGCGUAGAUAUAUGGAAGAACACCAGUGGCGAAGGCGGCUGUCUGGUCUGUAACUGACGCUGAGGCUCGAAAGCAUGGGUAGCGAACAGGAUUAGAUACCCUGGUAGUCCAUGCCGUAAACGAUGAAUGCUAGGUGUUGGAGGGUUUCCGCCCUUCAGUGCCGCAGCUAACGCAUUAAGCAUUCCGCCUGGGGAGUACGACCGCAAGGUUGAAACUCAAAGGAAUUGACGGGGGCCCGCACAAGCGGUGGAGCAUGUGGUUUAAUUCGAAGCAACGCGAAGAACCUUACCAGGUCUUGACAUCUUUUGAUCACCUGAGAGAUCAGGUUUCCCCUUCGGGGGCAAAUGACAGGUGGUGCAUGGUUGUCGUCAGCUCGUGUCGUGAGAUGUUG
rnacentral:rRNA from 1 species